AAGUUUUAUAACUUUUAGGUUUAUUUUCCAUGUCCUUAUACUUCCUCUCCAAAAAGAAAGGAGAGGAGAGGCAGCAUAACGUAAAUCUCCUCGUGGUUUCGUAAUUAUGGCCCUUGAUUUCUUGAGGAUGGUACUCACACAUUUGGCCAUUAAUGUGAACGCUGCACCUUGAUGGCUGGUUCAUUUGCUUUUGCAGGAGGUCCAUUACAAUCAGCAUGGUUUGUUGCUUUUGGAGGGACAGGGUAUUUAUCGCUUAGGUGAUAGCUGGUAUCCAGUUCAAGCUGGUGAUGUCAUUUGGAUGGCUCCUUUUGUGCCUCAGUGGUAUGGUGCUCUUGGUAAAAAUCGCAGUCGCUAUUUGCUUUACAAAGAUGUCAAUAGGAAUCCAGUUUAAAUCACCUGCAGCAAAUGUAUGAUGAGAAGAAACAUGGUGCAGGCUUCUUUCCCUUUGACCACUGCAUUUACAGUAUAACUGAUGCAAGCAGUUGCAUGGUAAAUGCAACAAUUAACUGUUACAGCAAAAAAAAACUGUGCAUUGUUUGCUUUGUAGUAGCGUAAAAUAUCAUGGAUAAAUUGAAUGCUUCAUGUUGGUAACGAUGAUUUCCCAUUUGAAAAUUCUACCAACUACUUUUCAAUUUCUCUACUCGUGAUAAAAAGUCUUUUACGAGCUUUUUCUCAAAUUUGAAGUGCUAGAAGUUCUGAAUUUAUGGUGAAGACUUGGUCAUUAAUGAGGUGUAGCUAUUGGCUUGUAGGUCAAUUGUUAGUAAGCAUGUUAAUUAUUAGUAA